GCGGUGAUGGUUCAGUGGUAGAAUUCUUACCUUCCAUGUAAAAGUCCUGGGUUCAAUUCCCGGCCAACGCA
rnacentral:tRNA from 1 species